UUUAAGCCCCUCCUCCCCCUUGUGGGGAGGGGUUGGGGAGGGGCCUCGCUCAGGA
rnacentral:sRNA from 1 species